AAAAAAACGGGGGGCUAGUUUGACCCAUAGGUUUGACCGUCUUUUUUGGAGUGGCGGCUGGCUUGACUGCAGUGACCAACCGGAGCCAAGUAGACAGGAAUAAAUGAAGAUACAGCCCAUAGAAAUACUUAUUAUUGGUGAUCAACUGCUAUUGACAUUUUUGAAUCGGGACAAAUGUGGAGUGAUUCGGAAGAAAAACGUUUGCAACACAUCCAUUCCAGAGUGCUGUGACAGAUAAAACUGACACGCUUGAUGAGGACACAGUCAAAGCUUUAAAAGACCGUGUGAUAAAGCAGUCUUCAAUUACUACGGUGUCUGAAUUGCAAGAAGAAGUGACCCUCCACUUAAACAUGUGACAUCUAAACUGUUUUGUGUUUUGGUUCAGCUUUUUACAAGUUUAUCUUAAGUUAAAGACGGAGUACACCAUUUUUGAAAGCCAAUGUUAACAUUUGAAAUUACCUAAACAAACAUGUCUCUACCCCAAUAGAAUCUGGACCUUCUUUUGAUAGACCCACCACACACAUACGCAACCCUGGCAAGGAUGUCGGUUAGUAGACACGCCCCUUACUGCUGGUUGGCUACAAGUGUGUUUUGGUAGUCGGCCCCAAUUUCCUUUUCCAAAAUGUUUUUCAAACAUUGUGCACUCUGCCUUUAAAUUGCACUUUAAAGUGUGUGUUGCAGGUUAACCACCACUGUCGAUUAAUGCGUACAUAAAUCACUCAAGAUAUGUGUAUAAUUUUUAAAAUGUCUCAAAAAUGGUCUUAAAGACCACUUUUUUUUACGUUUUUGGUAUUAACGGUUUUUUUAACGCAAUUCUGCGAUGACGUCACGUUGGGGAGAAGUGGAGAAAGACUCAGCCAGAGCCAUAGAGAUAGAUGAGACAUUUAUUGCUGUUUAAUACUUACGUAUAUAAUUUGGAAAUCAUAUAUACAUCGUAGGAAAUAUAUAAUGUGUUAUACUGCAAAGUUACCUUGCUAAUUAUUAUUUAUGAUAUAUGUGGAGAUAAAUAAAACUUCGCAAAUCUGCUGAUUUGAUCCAUUCAUGUCCUGACCACCAGGCAAGAGAUUUUUAAACAUCCUUAAUCCACACUUACUAGUCUAUCAAAUAAUAUCUCAAAUAUAUUGUUUUGUGAAAUAAAAGGAUGCUUUGUUAUAUUGUUUAUGCGAUUAUAACGAAUCACACGAUCAUUUUAUACGCAGCAGCAGUCAGCAGCUGCAGCAUACUCGGAUCCGACCGCAUACAUACUGUAAUAAACAGGCGUUCGGCGGCUUUUUACAUCACGACAGACUAUGCCAUUUGAGGAGGAACCGCUCAUUGAUCACCGUAUUUUUAUAAAUCCUGUACAUGUUUGGACCUGCCGAACAGGUUGAGCACUUUUAUAUACUUUGUUGAGCAGAGGCUGCACAGUUUGACCAGCGGGCUGCGGGAACCGGCCGCACAUCACGCCGCCAGACGGUGUUGCUAAUAUAACUCGAAAUGUAUAACUAUUAUCAGAUCGGCCCACCGGGAAGACUCUCCCGAUUGCCAUUCCGCUACUGGCUGUAAGAAAGUGAGUGCGUUUGGGUCGCUGGUCCCCGCGAACAGGUGUGACGUGCUUCACUCACCUUCCAGGAUUAGAGACAUGCUGCCAAAACCGUUUGUGCUGAAGAUCGCAUAAAGUUACACCCAUUUCAGUCAGGAUCAUGGACCCCCUCAAGCCAGCAUGCACGAGUAUGUUAAUUGUUUGUUUACUUUCUACACGAAGAUAUGCUAACGUUAUGCUAUCUGGCUGUCUGCCUAUCUCUCUAUACUAGCCUAUCCAUCUGUCUGUCUGUCUGUCUG